rnacentral:rRNA from 1 species
UACGUAGGGUCCGAGCGUUGUCCGGAAUUACUGGGCGUAAAGAGCUCGUAGGUGGUUUGUCGCGUUGUUCGUGAAAACUCACAGCUUAACUGUGGGCGUGCGGGCGAUACGGGCAGACUUGAGUACUGCAGGGGAGACUGGAAUUCCUGGUGUAGCGGUGGAAUGCGCAGAUAUCAGGAGGAACACCGGUGGCGAAGGCGGGUCUCUGGGCCACUACUGACGCUGAGAAGCGAAAGCAUGGGGAGCGAACAGG